AAAGAAAGAAGUGUUUUAGUUUGUGUUUUUUUGGAUCCAACUAAAAAAAAUGAUCCAAUGAAUAAAAAUUAUGUCCCGCUUUAAUGAUUUUUGACCAUUAGAUUACAAUUUAUGUGAGCCCCUACACGUUUUAGAAGAAAGUGAUAUUUUUGAGAGGAAAAAAAAGUCUCAAGUGAAAUCUCAGUCAUUGGAUUAACUCAAAUAAAUUCCAACCGUAAAUAGUGGAAGAUAGUUUGAAAAUUUCAAAAAUAUUUGUGUAAUAUAAAUAUAAGACACAAAGAUUUUUAAAAACUAUUUUCCACUAUCUACGAUUGGAAUUUAUUUGAAUUAAUCUAAUGGCUGAGAUUUCACCUGAGACUAUUUUUUUCUCAAAAACAAUAUUACUUCCUUCUUCUCAAAGGUGUGGGGCCAACAUAGAUUGUGAUUCAAUGGCCAAACAAUUUCUAAAGGUGGGCAUAUUUUUUAUCUAUUGGAUCAUUUUUUUAGUGGGAACCACAUCAAAAAAAAAUAAAAUUAAAACACCCAUUUCUUUCACCCUCAUUUCUCCCAAAUUAGCAACACUUUCAAAAUCAUUAUACUUUUUAAUUUGUUCUUCAUUUUAUAGUAAUGUAUCUCUCUGUUUUUUAGGCUGUAAAAUUUUAAUGAUUAUGCAUAAGAAGUGAUUUUUUUGGGAAAAAGCGUAAUGUCUGUGAGUAUAAAUAAUUAUUAGUAAUUAUAAAUAGGUAAUUACUCAGUCUAAGCCAUACGAUAGCCAAGGGGAGUGAGAAAAGUAAUUGGUCCACCCCUUGAAACUUGAGAGCAUCUCCAACCCUUCAUGGAAUCAUUCGUCUAAUUCAAAUUUGAUGAAGAAGGGUACAAAAACAGCUCCUAUUACUUUCACGUUUUACCAAAUCAGUUUGGUUUAGUUUUUAAAUCAGUUUUGCAAAUUUUUAUGCAAAAAAUUUGUUUGGUUUAUAGGUUUCGAAACUUGUUUUGUAGGAAUUUUUUUAAAAAAUAUUAAAAAGACUAUUCAAAUUAUUAAUAACCAAUUAUGAUUAAAAUAUCAUAAUAUAAAAAAGAAAAAAAUUAAAAUAAAAAGUUUGUUUGUAUUGUGGAAAAAUUAACUCGACCAAUUUAAUCGUAACAAAUUAACUACAAGUUUAAUUCUAGUUAAUAAUUUAAAUAUUCAUUUAAUCUCAUUAAGGCAAACAGAAUCGAUUGAUUUCCAUUCAAAAUGCAUGGAAACGACUUUGUAUAAAGUUAUCUCCUUUCAAAGUCCUAAUCUAACCAAUUAACAAUACAAAUUAGAGAGUUUAGGUGUUUUAUUUGUAUUAAAUAGAUCAAAUUUUUAUGGUAAUUCUAUGUCAUUUUGAAUCUUUGAUAUGAGAAUGGUUCAAUUAGGUGUUAAAAAAUAAAACCUUAUACGAUGUGGUUUACGUACAUUCGGACUAGUUAGUUUCGUUUCUUAGAUGGAUGGAAAUUAAUGAAAAAUUUAAAUUGUUACUAAAUUAAAAUUAUAUAUUUUAAUUUAUUAUAAUUAAAAUUAUAAUGUUUAAUUUGUUACCCGUCUAACUCUAGAGUUUUUUUUAUGUAAUUUUCGCUAUAAAAAAACGCCAAAAUCAAUUCCAAAACUGAACCAAAACAUCAAUUAUUGGGAUAAGAGAAAAGAGUGCAAAAAAAAUUAGGAUUGGAGGAAAAUUACCAUCUCUUGAUUUGGCAAAACCAUCCCAGACAUACUCGCAACCUCUUUGAGCGCCGCACUCCGUCUCUCGUCUUCUCCGACGAAUCCUUCUUCUCCGAUCUAUAGACGGCUCUUCACUCUCCCCGGGAUCCACAUCGUUAAAAACACCGGCACAAUGAGUGAUCAGAAGUUUACAAUGCUCCAGAAUCGUCUGGACCUCGGAGAGGAAGCAUUUGAAGAUGCGUAAUCUUCGAGAACACGAUCACCGACAUCUUGGAGUACUUGAUCGCCUUCUCUGUAACUCGGAAUUAAUUGAUGUUCUCUGACCUCUGAUCUCGUCGUCGUCUCGGAAGGUCGGAAAUCCGGCACGAUUCAGUGCGUGGAGAGGGGAUCCUGAAUGUUUUCGGGGUCUAAGCCUCGAAAGCGCUCAGGGAAAAGUCGUCCGUAGUUGAAUUUGAAUUCGGAGCUGGCGCUGGAGGCCUUGGGGCUCGAUUAGAGUGCCAUGAAGAACAGAGAGAGAGAGAACAGAGAUGGAAGCAGUGAAGGGGAAGGAGAGUUUUGGUAUUGGCGAGAGAGAUGGAAUCAGUGUUACUGAUGAGUGGUUUGAUACAAGAGAAUACAACAAUAUAAAUUAUAUAAUAGCAAGUUGCAUUUUGGUCAAGUCAAAAGAAAACAGCGGAAAUAAUUAAAGGGCACUUGCUUUUCGUUCAAGUCAACAAGAAACCGCGGGAAUUUAUUGUCUAGAGUCUAGACAAGAUUAUAGGGGAAAUUUUAAUUUGGCGGUUUAAUAAAAUAAGCUUUUUAUAUCAAUCAGUUGUUUAACGCAUACAAUUAAAUUCGCCGAAAGGCGCCGUGACUUCUAAAAUAAUAUAUAUUACAUGGGUUCAAUUGGGACAAUUUUCCCUUUCUCCACCAAAACGACGAAGUCGUGAAAUGAAAAAACUAGUCACUUUUUUAUUUCGCAAGUGGCGUUUCGGUAGAAAGAGUUAAAAUCAUUCUAUUUAACUAUUGGAGGCAACUCCCAAUCGUAGUAACAUAUUAAUACAGUAUAAUAUUUAGAAAUCUAAGGUCAAUUCACAUGAAGUUAGAAAAGGCAAGAUUUAAGUUUAGUUUGUGUAAGUUAGAAUUAUAAAAAAAUGACUAUUUUGAUAUUUUUGUGAAAAACUAUGUGAUGAAAUAUAAAGUAUAAAUGUAUAAUGACAUGAUCCAAGUAUCUAGUCCUUCUUCUAACUUAGAUGUUUUAACUUUUUUUUCUUUAUGCAUCAACCAAAUUCAAGGCACGAUUAAUAUCUAAAUAUGUGUUUAUGGGAUUGGAUAAAUGACUUUGUACAAGUUCAAAACACUAGAGUACAUCUUCAAGUAUUACUUAUACCAGUGUACUAUGAACAUAAUUAAAAUGUAACAAACUCUAAAUUUUAAUCGUAAGACACCAUUAAUCAACUAAACUAAGCAUUGAAACCAUUUAAAAGGAGAGAGAAGAAAGAAAUUCAUGUUCUAAGGUUUGGAAGAAAACAUAUUUCUGGACCAAGAUAUGGGUGAGAAAAACUCAAACAACAAUGAAUCACUAACCAUUAAAAUAAAAGUAAUUCACUCAAGAAGAAAGAUGAAUGAUAGUUCAAUAGAAUAAUCAAAAUCUAAGUAAACUAUAAACCAUUUGAAUUGUAGUAAAAUUAGAACAAGAAUUACAAGUUUAACUCAAAAACAAGUGAUCUUCUUCUUCCUUUCCAACUCUCUUCAAGCUAUGACUAUAAAAUAUAUUUUUGAAUUAAGCAAAUUGAUGAUGAAAAAGUAAAGUAGUAGAAAGAGAAAAUAAUUCUUCAAGACUAAGAAUUCUCCAAAAAAAUUCUUAAACUUGGGUUUUAAGCCUUUCAUAUAAUGGGAUUCCCUCAAUAACUUGGAAGAGAGGGAGGGAAAUAACCAAAAUACCCUGAAUGGAAAGCAGUCUUCUAUGUUGACUUGAGGGUUCGCAGCCUUCUUCAACCUCCUAUCUUCAUCUUUGCUUUCUUCAAUCUCGAUCGGUGAGAAGAAAGUUCAACCGGUUCAAAAGGGUUCUAAUGUUCCUCCUUUGUUUUCCAGUUCAAAAGGUGAUGAUUAGUCUUCAACGGUUGAGAAUUUUAGAUUUGAAGUUAUGAUGCAUUCAAUGCGUAGAAAACUAAAGGUUCAAUCGCGUUGUACAAUCCAUCUGAUGCUUUUGCUCCUAUUCUACCGAUUGGAGGGUUGGUCUUCGACUGGUUCAUCAUUGUCGAUAAAUUGCUUAUGCCUAUCCAUUCUAUCGGUAGAUAGACCGAAAAUGUUCCAACUAGUAGACUUGGAAAAAUUCCAUAAACUUUAGCGCAAACCAACUGCCAAUCACUCCCGCUUCAAUUCCUUGCCUCAUUCGACCCCUCCUUUAUGCUCUAUGGACUGCGAAAACAGGUUAAACACACUCGUGUGCAAAAUGAAAAAUAACAGUUAAGAGAAUAAUAAGUAUACGUAAAUCUGGUAAAUGUGCUAAAGGUGUGGGGAAAUUCGGAAAAGUGAGAAAAAGAAAGAAAGAAAAAAGACUCUCUUUCCUCCCUCUUCGAUGCCUCUCCCCAUGAUUUUCCUGAAUCACAACCUCCAGCGAUAUUAUUAUAUGUCAGACCGCUAAAUUGAUAUAAAGUUCUAAUCUUACCACUAAACUAAUUUUUUUCAAAGAUAAUAUCUUGAUAGGGUGAACUAUUGAAAUAUCAGUUGAUAUGGAAAGAAACUAGGAACCCCAGUUGACCUUGUAGUCUCCCUGCUGCACAGAUAAUUCAAUGCAUUCUGGGAGAUAAUUAGAUGAAAUAUAUUAGACAUAUGAUGGACAUGAUUAGAUGAAGAUGAUAUCAGCAGUUUUCUGUUAAAACAGGUGAGGCCUUUACUAGAAAAAUUAUAAGCAAUUUUCCAAUCUCCAGCAUCUUUUAUUUUUGAUUUGCCAGUAGCAGGCUUCCUUGUUGCAUGGCUUUUUUUUUUUUUUUUUUAAAUCGGAAACAUAUAGUUUUGCUAAUGAAACAGGUAAGAAUACACUGCUUUUCCUGUCCAGAAUCAGUCACAUAAAUUGCAGAAUUUGGAUCACUAGCAGACAUUUUUUCUGUCCCUCCCUGCAAAUCCAUAAUGAGGAAAAGGAAAAAGGCAGAAACGGUGAACCCUUGGACCUAACGGAUCACUUGCAAGACAGGAAUACGAAACUGUUUAACAUUUCUACGAUUUGAAACAUUAUUCUAGAAUUUUCAAACCUAUAUGUAGGAUCUAUUGAAGUGGACACAAAGCAAAAAUGGGUAUGAUGCACCCAAUAAAACCAUGUAUGGUCAUACUCACAAUAGAUUCACUUUCUCACUAA
rnacentral:lncRNA from 1 species